rnacentral:rRNA from 1 species
CCUACGGGAGGCAGCAGUGGGGAAUAUUGGUCAAUGGAGGAAACUCUGAACCAGCAACGCCGCGUGAAUGAUGAAGGUCUUCGGAUUGUAAAGUUCUUUUCUAAGGGAAGAAGCAAGUGACGGUACCUUAGGAAUAAGCCUCGGCUAACUACGUGCCAGCAGCCGCGGUAAUACGUAGGAGGCGAGCGUUAUCCGGAAUGACUGGGCGUAAAGGGUGCGUAGGUGGUUUGUCAAGUCAAGGGUGAAAUCCCCGCGCUAAACGUGGGAACUGCCUUUGAAACUGGCAAACUGGAGUGUGUGGGAGGAUAGUGUAAUUGCAGGUGGAGGAGUGAAAUCCGUAGAUAUCUGGAGGAACAUCAGUGGCGAAGGCGACUAUCUGGCACAUAACUGACGCUGAGGAGCGAAAGCGUGGGUAGCAAACAGGAUUAGAUACCCUAGUAGUC